rnacentral:lncRNA from 1 species
CUCUUUCAUGUAAAUUACUUGAGAAUAACAAACAGAGAGAGAGAGAUAAAAAAAAUGAACAUUAUUCAAGGAAAAUAAAAUCUAAGUAAAGGCAAAUACUCCAAUCUUAAGGAAAAGCAAAACAAGCAUAAUAUAUUCGGCACAUUUGUGAGACUUGUGUGAGCAUUCUUUUGGAAGGGAUAAGAUCCGUAAUUAAUUACACACAAACAGAAAAAGUUUGAAGCGAACAUUUUAACCUUUCUAUAUUGCUCAUCAUAGGGAUGGUGCCAAUGGAGAGGCUAGUGAUAGUACCCGGCACUAUUUGAUCCAACUAUUUGGUGUAGGGUGUAUUAGGGACGGCACAAGAGGGAGGCCAGUGGUAGUACCUCGUGCCCCUUCCAACUCCACCGGAUAGGGAGCAAAUAGAGUAUUGAGCAUAAGAAAGUAAAAACGAAAAACAAAAUCAAAAUGUUCAUUAAUUGGUUAAGAAAAGAAAUUCAAAAAAAAAUGAGAAAAUGAAUGACAAAGUAAAUGAAAGUAUAUAAGAAGAAUCAAGUCAAGUUUUAAUUACUUGAAAACACACCUUAAGGAUGAAAUCAGUGCAUAAUUAUAUAAGAAAAGUUUAUUUGAAAAGAAUUGAUUUUGAUCCAUGACAUACUUGUUAUGUUUUGCAUUCUUUGAAUUAUAUAUUUUCAAUAUUCAGUUUGAAAUGCUCCAUGCUUGAAUAAUUUGAUUGAAACAUGCUUCUACCAAUAGCAAAUUUAUUUUUCAUUUUAUGAAACUCAUAAUUUGAAAUAGGCUUUAACUUUGUACACAAGUCUUUGCUUCACCUUUGACUUCGAAAUAACUUGUGUUCCAAAGCCUAAUGAAAAUUGCUUUCACUUGCAUUCCAUACUCAUCAAUGAUAUUUUGGAUUUCUCUUGUACUCUUUUGAUUAAAAAAAUUUUCUUAUUAAAUCGGUUCCAAUGCUUGAAUAUUUGAAAAAUAAUAUAAGAAUUUUUCUAAAAGUAUUUUUGAAAGAAAUUUUAGAUUUGUCGUUCAUGAUCACCUUUGAAAUCUGAAAGUUGAAUAUAUUUACAAAAAGAAGAAGAAAAGGAUACUUCUAUUUUAAUGAAUAUCUUCUGAAAAAAUAAAAGAAAAGGAUAAUCUGAAUUUGCAAAUUAGGCAGAAUGAAUUGAUUAUAAUUUAUCUUUCAACUUACCUAAUAUUGGUACAUAAUGUCCUAAUACUUGUUAAAAUAUCCUCCAUUUUAUACCGAAACUCAAUAUUAAAUACAAAUAUUCUGAAUGUGCUCUAAUGUGUUUGAAAUAUGUGUUUUCAAUCUUAAUAAUUUAUGAUGAGCUACGAUGUAGAAGAUGCAUAUCUCAAAUUAUAAUCCUGAAAGCUUUCUUGAAAAUUCUUUAUGAAGUUCAGAAUCUGAUUUUGUAUAAAAGCUUAAACUUAAUUUAAAAAUGCUUAUAUCAUUACAUCUUUGUAACCUUAGUUAUAUGCUUCAAGGAUCGCAUCAUUUAGGAGAAUAACUCAAUAUGAUUCCUAAAUGAAAAUUUUAACUUAAGAAAAAUAGAAUUAAUUUUGAUGUCUUGGUUGAUUGCUCCGAUACGCAUCUGAAACAUAUCAUUUCUUAUUUUUAAAGUGUACUAAAAUUAGUCUAAAUGAUGUAUUUUUCAAUGAUCUUGAUUGCGAACAAAUGUUUCUAAAUAUAUGAUUUUAUUUUGAUAUUAAAAAGAUUCAUUGUGUUUCAUGUAUACAUUGAUGUCUAUGAGUAAGAAAUUAAAUUCUAUAAACAUUCACUUGAAUGAUCUUCUAUCCCUUUCUGCAUGAUUGUUGCUUCCAUCACUAAAAGAAAGCUAUUUUUAAAAGAGAGUGAAUGCUCCUAAAGCUAGAAACAUUUCAGCUCACUCAAAUGACUCUUAAAAGAAAGAAAAUGUAAUUGCUUUUGAAAGAAAUUGACCUUCAAAUGAAUUAUUUUCUGAUUAAUAUUUCAGUACAUUUUCUCAAAAAUUAAUAGGAAGCAUAACUUGUUCUUUAAAGAUGAAAAAGAGUGAUUGCUAUAAAUUUUGAAAAACUCUAGAUCACUUUACAUUCUUGAUAUCAUAAAAUUUCAGUUUUAUUUACGCUUAUCAUUAAAAUCUGAAAUUUAAUAAGAAAAGAAUGAUUAAAGAAGAAUGCAUCUUUUGAGGGGAGCUUUAGACAUAUCAAUCUCUCUAGAUUUUGCAUCUUAUUCAAAAGUCACCAUCAUAUGAUGCAUACCUUGAAUAUUUUAUGCAUUGAUUUUGAUGAAUCUCCUUGUGUUGCCAUUACCUGUCUUAGUUAUAUAUAGCCUAUACUUUGAGUUUAAUUCUAUAAAGCGUUUAUUAUCUCAAAUGAAUAUGAUUUGAUACUUGCAAAUAUGCUCUCAAUGGGUUAAGGUGAAAAUAUGCUGAAAUUUGUAGAAAACAUAUUUUCAAGAUUAACAAUUUGAAUGUUUUAUUGAAAAUUAUCUUCAAAUUCUAAACUCUUAAAUGGAAUGCUUAAUUAAUGGGGAGAAAAAGAAUUUCAGAGGGAGAGAUCAUAUGAAACUUAAUCGCAUAAAUCCAUAACUAAAGGAGAGAGAAAGAAUACUAAAUGAGAAGUGAUCCUAAUACUCUCUAAUAUGUAUCAUCUGAAAUUUAAAUCUGAAAAUCUUUAUGUUAUUUGGUUAGUAUAUCUUAUACAUCAACCAUGAACCAAAUUGCAAUUCAAACAGUUGAUCUUAAGUGCCUCUAAUUUAAUAAAAAAGGGGGAGAAAAAUAAAAGUAAAAAAUAGCUUGGAACGUAAUGUUUUAUGU